rnacentral:rRNA from 1 species
GAAAGAAUAUCGGAGACGGAUGGGCAUGCGGCGCAUUAGCUGGUUGGCGGGGUAACGGCCCACCAAGGCGACGAUGCGUAGGGGUUCUGAGAGGAAGGUCCCCCACACUGGUACUGAGACACGGACCAGACUCCUACGGGAGGCAGCAGUGAGGAAUAUUGGUCAAUGGGCGAGAGCCUGAACCAGCCAAGUCGCGUGAGGGAGUACUGCCCUAUGGGUUGUAAACCUCUUUUGUCGGGGAGCAAAAGCCGGACGUGUCCGGCUGUGAGAGUACCCGAAGAAAAAGCAUCGGCUAACUCCGUGCCAGCAGCCGCGGUAAUACGGAGGAUGCGAGCGUUAUCCGGAUUUAUUGGGUUUAAAGGGUGCGCAGGCGGAUUUUUAAGUCAGCGGUCAAAUCGUGGGGCUCAACCCCAUCCAGCCGUUGAAACUGGGGAUCUAGAGUGUGCGAGAGGUAUGCGGAAUGCGUGGUGUAGCGGUGAAAUGCAUAGAUAUCACGCAGAACCCCGAUUGCGAAGGCAGCAUACCGGUGCACAACUGACGCUCAGGCACGAAAGCGUGGGUAUCGAACAGGAUUAGAUACCCUGGUAGUCCACGCAGUAA